AGUGGUCUCAACGCGGAGUGUCCAUUACGGCGAUAGGGGGUCUGAAUAAAUAUGCAUUUAAAGGAACAGAUUGUGUUAACAAAGCAGAUAUUUUAUAAGUACACUUCAAUCAUA
rnacentral:lncRNA from 1 species